rnacentral:lncRNA from 10 species
AGACCUUCUCCUUACUGAGCCUUCAUUUCUACUCCCAGAGAAGUCCAAUAGCUCAUCCUUGACCCAGAAGACCAGUCAUAGCUGAUCCUUCAAGAAGCAAGAAAGAAGACAAACAGAUGAACGACAAAGACAACCCGGUAACCUGGCGGUGCAAAGGAUUCAACUCCUAGCUUGUGGAUUUAGGAAUCUAUGCUGGGAGAUCUGGGACAAUAACAAAGAUGGGAGUGGUGAUUUGCAGGGCAGGGCUUCAGGGACAGGGGUCGGAGCGAGGCAGGGGGCAUUGAGUGUCUGAAACUAAGCAAGACAACGAAGAAUAAAAUCCAAGUGAGGGGAGCCACUUUAUCCUUUGCUUCUUCUUCCAUUUAGUCAGGUCCAUGUGUCUUGAGCAUCUACUAUGGGCUCAGCACCACGCUGGCCACCGGGGACAAAGAACAGAAAUGCCCUUGAGAUGAGGAUGGACCUGACCUCUGAGCAGCAAAAUGCUUAAGUCAAGCAGUCAGGCAAACUGGCUGUGAAUUUUGUCUCUGUCACUUAUUCAUUGCAUGACUUCAAAGAACUUUCUUAGCCUCUCAUAGCCUCAGUUUCCCAUUGGGUAAAAUGGGAAUAGUAAUCAAAUCAAUUCCAUAGAUUUAUUGCAAGAUAAACUAAGAGUGAUUGUGUAGACCACUCAGUACAGUGGCUGGCACAUAGCAAGUACUGAACAAGUGACAGUAUUUGUUCCUUUUAUGUAUU